rnacentral:lncRNA from 1 species
GGAAGAGUGAGUACAAAUGGGGUUUAGAGAGUGAUUGGUUCCUGAGAAAGAGCUUUUCCUUUUUUUCCCUCUUUGGUGAUAGAGAAGUGCGUUGAAUAGGAGAUCAGUGCGUACAACGCAGCUGCAGCAGGAGGAAACUCUAGAUUUGUACUUUUGCUCUCACUGCUGCAGAAAUCAGCGUUGCACCAAAAUGACCGGGGUUGUUCACGAACAGAACCUUGAGAAGCAG